rnacentral:rRNA from 1 species
GACGAACGCUGGCGGCGUGCUUAACACAUGCAAGUCGAACGGUGAAGCGCCUUCCUGUUUGGGGGGUGUGGUUGAGUGGCGAACGGGUGAGUAACACGUGAGUAACCUGCCCCCUUCUUCUGGAUAACCGCAUGAAAGCGUGGCUAAUACGGGAUCUUCUGGGUCUGUGGCAUGUUGGGUGUGGUUAAGAUAUUGUUUCGGUGGGGGAUGGGCUCGCGGCCUAUCAGCUUGUUGGUGGGGUGAUGGCCUACCAAGGCGGUGACGGGUCGCCGGGCUGAGAGGGUGGCCGGUCACACGGGGACUGGGACACGGUCCGGACGCGUACCGGAGCCAGCACCUGCGAGAAUUGGACAAUGGGAGUAAGGCUGAUGGAGCGGCGGCGCGAGGGAGCUGCAGGGCUUCGGGGUGUGAAGCCCUUUCGUCAGAGACGCCUGCCUGCAUCGUCUGUGGUUGUGGUGACGGUAGCUGGAUAAGAAGCGCCGGCUAACUACGUG